AUCAAAAGCUUUCAAUUUACAAUUGAACAAUACUAGCAUGAAUCUAGUCUUUAUGAGCAAGCUCAUAGCUCA
rnacentral:tRNA from 1 species